rnacentral:rRNA from 1 species
GAUGAACGCUGGCGGCGUGCCUAAUACAUGCAAGUCGAGCGAACAGACGAGGAGCUUGCUCCUCUGACGUUAGCGGCGGACGGGUGAGUAACACGUGGAUAACCUACCUAUAAGACUGGGAUAACUUCGGGAAACCGGAGCUAAUACCGGAUAAUAUAUUGAACCGCAUGGUUCAAUAGUGAAAGACGGUUUUGCUGUCACUUAUAGAUGGAUCCGCGCCGCAUUAGCUAGUUGGUAGGGUAACGGCUUACCAAGGCAACGAUGCGUAGCCGACCUGAGAGGGUGAUCGGCCACACUGGAACUGAGACACGGUCCAGACUCCUACGGGAGGCAGCAGUAGGGAAUCUUCCGCAAUGGGCGAAAGCCUGACGGAGCAACGCCGCGUGAGUGAUGAAGGUCUUCGGAUCGUAAAACUCUGUUAUUAGGGAAGAACAAAUGUGUAAGUAACUAUGCACGUCUUGACGGUACCUAAUCAGAAAGCCACGGCUAACUACGG